rnacentral:rRNA from 1 species
UACGUAGGGGGCAAGCGUUAUCCGGAUUUACUGGGUGUGAAGGGAGCGUAGACGGCCAGACAAGUCUGAAGUGAAAAUCCAGCGCUUAACGCUGGAAGUGCUUUGGAAACUGCCGGGCUGGAGUGCAGGAGGGGCAGGCGGAAUUCCUAGUGUAGCGGUGAAAUGCGUAGAUAUUAGGAGGAACACCAGUGGCGAAGGCGGCCUGCUGGACUGCAACUGACGUUGAGGCUCGAAGGCGUGGGGAGCAAACAGG